rnacentral:misc_RNA from 1 species
GAAACGCGAUAGUUAAUGUGAAUUGCAGAAUUCAGUGAAUCAUCGAGUCUUUGAACGCACAUUGCGCCCAUAGGUAUUCCUUUGGGCAUGUCUGUUUGAGCGUCAUUACAACCCUCAGCUAACCGCUGGUUUUGAACCUGAACGGGUGACACCGCGCCGGUUUUAAAGUUGUAAGCUCUGCUGGCCGCUCUGCCCAACCAGAACAUAGUAAGCACUACUUGUCCGGGUGAAGCUGAACGGUACGGCCUGAACAAAACCUACUCACUCUCAAGGUUUGACCUCAGAUCAGACAAGGAUACCCGCUGAACUUAAGC